UUUCUAGAGCGAAUCGGCAGCGGUUUUGUAAAGAGCCGCCGUAUUGGUCGGUCCUGUCGUUUACUUGGUCUUUCAUGAAUUGCUCUAUCAAGUAACCAUGAGCGCCGUGGAUCUCAAUUCCGUCAAAACCUAUAGAAAAAACAACUCUGAAAUCAUUAACAACAAGCGGAAUCUCCUCUGUAGUCAGCUUCCUUGGAGGUGAAAAUUGUGCAACAUCAAUGCCAUUGCUUCGUAAUUGAGGAAAUAUUUCUUUUUCUGUGGAAGAUAUUGGGGCUUGUCCAUUUGGUUGAAAACCUUUUCAAUAGAUCGAGAAUUUAAAAUGGAGUUGAAAGAUGACAUAAUGACCAUUGCAAUUAUAUAUAUAUAUAUAUAUAUAUUGAGGAAGACUAGAUUGCUGGAAAAAGCAACAAAUCAAUUGGACUACUUUCUUACAUUUAACCCAAUCAUAAAUUGAAGGACAGAUAGUAUACCCGUAUUUGAAACCCUUCCGACAUGCCAAAUUUGACAGAAAAAGAUUCCGCCUUUUUCAUGAACAGCAUCCACAAUUGGUUUCCAUGCCUCUACUUGUUCUUUUGUCCAUAUACCAGGUGUUUCUGGAUACCUUAAUAGCAUAAACAAAUAUGUUUAUCAACAAAACUAUUUUCUCCAUCAUCAACAAUGAACUUUUAAUUGUUUGUCCA